rnacentral:snRNA from 1 species
GGAUGUGAGGGCGAUCUGGCUGCGACAUCUGUCACCCCAUUGAUUGCCAGGGUUGAUUCGGCUGAUCUGGCUGGCUAGGCGGGUGUCCCCUUCCUCCCUCACCGCUCCAUGUGCGUCCCUCCCGAAGCUGCGCGCUCGGUGGAAGAGGACGACGUCCCAGGUAUAGAAGGAGUGUACCGAGGUCUCCAGUCUUCGGUCCCGGGUAUACGAUAGCUGCGCUCCCCUGCUAGAACCUCCAAACAAGCACACUUGCAUGUUUUUGAACUGCUAAGUUGGCAGAAGCUGGGCCUAACAGCAAGAGCUCAGCCAGCUCUUCAAAUUCGAACUGCUGAGCUUUUGG